GGUUAAGCGACUAAGCGUACACGGUGGAUGCCCUGGCAGUCAGAGGCGAUGAAGGACGUGCUAAUCUGCGAAAAGCGUCGGUAAGGUGAUAUGAACCGUUAUAACCGGCGAUGUCCGAAUGGGGAAACCCAGUGCAAUUCGUUGCACUAUCGUUAACUGAAUACAUAGGUUAACGAGGCGAACCGGGGGAACUGAAACAUCUAAGUACCCCGAGGAAAAGAAAUCAACCGAGAUUCCCCCAGUAGCGGCGAGCGAACGGGGAGCAGCCCAGAGUCUGAAUCAGCUUGUGUGUUAGUGGAACGGUCUGGAAAGUCCGACGGUACAGGGUGAUAGUCCCGUACACCAAAAUGCACAGGCUGUGAACUCGAAGAGUAGGGCGGGACACGUGGUAUCCUGUCUGAAUAUGGGGGGACCAUCCUCCAAGGCUAAAUACUCCUGACUGACCGAUAGUGAACCAGUACCGUGAGGGAAAGGCGAAAAGAACCCCGGCGAGGGGAGUGAAAAAGAACCUGAAACCGUGUACGUACAAGCAGUGGGAGCACCUUCGGGUGUGACUGCGUACCUUUUGUAUAAUGGGUCAGCGACUUAUAUUCUGUAGCAAGGUUAACCGUAUAGGGGAGCCGCAGGGAAACCGAGUCUUAACUGGGCGUUAAGUUGCAGGGUAUAGACCCGAAACCCGGUGAUCUAGCCAUGGGCAGGUUGAAGGUUGGGUAACACUAACUGGAGGACCGAACCGACUAAUGUUGAAAAAUUAGCGGAUGACUUGUGGCUGGGGGUGAAAGGCCAAUCAAACCGGGAGAUAGCUGGUUCUCCCCGAAAGCUAUUUAGGUAGCGCCUCGUGAACUCAUCUUCGGGGGUAGAGCACUGUUUCGGCUAGGGGGUCAUCCCGACUUACCAACCCGAUGCAAACUACGAAUACCGAAGAAUGUUAUCACGGGAGACACACGGCGGGUGCUAACGUCCGUCGUGAAGAGGGAAACAACCCAGACCGCCAGCUAAGGUCCCAAAGUCAUGGUUAAGUGGGAAACGAUGUGGGAAGGCACAGACAGCCAGGAUGUUGGCUUAGAAGCAGCCAUCAUUUAAAGAAAGCGUAAUAGCUCACUGGUCGAGUCGGCCUGCGCGGAAGAUGUAACGGGGCUAAACCAUGCACCGAAGCUGCGGCAGCGACACUAUGUGUUGUUGGGUAGGGGAGCGUUCUGUAAGCCUGCGAAGGUGUGCUGUGAGGCAUGCUGGAGGUAUCAGAAGUGCGAAUGCUGACAUAAGUAACGAUAAAGCGGGUGAAAAGCCCGCUCGCCGGAAGACCAAGGGUUCCUGUCCAACGUUAAUCGGGGCAGGGUGAGUCGACCCCUAAGGCGAGGCCGAAAGGCGUAGUCGAUGGGAAACAGGUUAAUAUUCCUGUACUUGGUGUUACUGCGAAGGGGGGACGGAGAAGGCUAUGUUAGCCGGGCGACGGUUGUCCCCCGGUUUAAGCAUGUAGGCUGAUUGUCUCCAGGCAAAUCCGGAUAAUCAAGGCUGAGGUGUGAUGACGAGGCACUACGGUGCUGAAGUAACAAAUGCCCUGCUUCCAGGAAAAGCCUCUAAGCAUCAGGUAACAUCAAAUCGUACCCCAAACCGACACAGGUGGUCAGGUAGAGAAUACCAAGGCGCUUGAGAGAACUCGGGUGAAGGAACUAGGCAAAAUGGUGCCGUAACUUCGGGAGAAGGCACGCUGGUGUGUAGGUGAAGUCCCUGCGGAUGGAGCUGAGACCAGUCGAAGAUACCAGCUGGCUGCAACUGUUUAUUAAAAACACAGCACUGUGCAAACACGAAAGUGGACGUAUACGGUGUGACGCCUG
rnacentral:rRNA from 1 species